CCCUUAGAUGUCCGGGGCUGCACGCGCGCUACACUGAAUGAAUCAGCGUGCUAGAAAACCUUGUUUGACAUGGCUAGGUAACCCAUUGAAAAUCAUUCGUGAUUGGGAUCGGGACUUGCAAAUGUGUCCCUUGAACGAGGAAUUCCCAGUAAGUGCGGGUCAUCAGCUCGCGUUGAUUACGUCCCUGCCCUUUGUACACACCGCCCGUCGCUGCCCGGAACUGAGCCGUUUCGAGAAGACUGAGGAUUGCCGACUUGAGGCCUUCACGGGCUUCUAGUCGGUGAAAAGCAAUUUAAUCGCAGCGGCUUGAACCGGGCAAAAGUCGUAACA
rnacentral:rRNA from 1 species